ACAGGAGGCCAUUGGUUUGGACUGAGCUUCUGCACUAGGUCCAACAGACUGAGAUGGAGCAGGCACCCCUAUUAGAGGCCUGCUAGGCCUCCUCCAAGCAUAGAAACGAAGGAAAAUCUUGAUUUAUUUCAAGGGAAAUUCCAGGUACCUAGCUGGCCUUGAGAAGUAAAUGAGCCACCUGAUAAGCAAGAAGGGAAUAAUAGCUGCAAGUAAUAGCCACUCAAUUCCAUGAUGGAAAAUCUAAUGGCCACUUUCCAUUUACCACGUCCAAGGAGCAGUCCAGGCUUCCCUUCAUUUCUACAAUGACCCCAACUGUUUCGCCACUCGCUCCUCAAAGAACCUCUGGAUUUGUUUCUGGCUUUUGGCUACGAGGAAUAAGCCUUCUGAGAACAUUCAGCUCCAGGAUUUUGUGUG